rnacentral:rRNA from 1 species
AUUCCUUUAAGUUUCAAUCUUGCGACCGUACUUCCCAGGCGGCAGACUUAACGGCUUCCCUGCGGCACUGCAUUGGCAAGAAGCCAAUGCAUCACCGAGUCUGCAUCGUUUACAGCUGGGACUACCCGGGUAUCUAAUCCGGUUUGCUCCCCCAGCUUUCAUCCCUCACUGUCGAACGUGUUCUGGCAGACCGCCUUCGCCACUGGUGGUCCUCAAAGGAUCAGAGGAUUUUACCCCUACCCCCCGAAUACCGUCUGCCUCUCCCACUCCCUAGUCUUGUAGUAUCUCCAGCGGCCCAUCUGUUAAGCAGGUGGAUUUAACCGGAGACUUGCAAAACCAGCUACGGAUGCUUUAGGCCCAAUAAUCGUCCUGAC